GAUGAACGCUGGCGGCGUGCCUAAUACAUGCAAGUCGAACGCAUUGUGGUUGAAAUGAUAUGAAGAACUUGUUCAGAUUUGAUUUUCAACAUUGCAAUGAGUGGCGAACGGGUGAGUAACACGUGGGAAACCUACCUCUUAGCAGGGGAUAACAUUUGGAAACAAAUGCUAAUACCGUAUAAUAAUUAAAACCGCAUGGUUUUAGUUUAAAAGAUGGUCUUGCUAUCACUAAGAGAUGGUCCCGCGGUGUAUUAGUUAGUUGGUGAGGUAAUGGCUCACCAAGACAAUGAUACAUAGCCGAGUUGAGAGACUGACCGGCCACAAUGGGACUGAGACACGGCCCAUACUCCUACGGGAGGCAGCAGUAGGGAAUCUUCCACAAUGGACGAAAGUCUGAUGGAGCAAACGCCGCGUGUGUGAUGAAGGGUUUCGGCUCGUAAAACACUGUUGUAAG
rnacentral:rRNA from 1 species